rnacentral:ncRNA from 2 species
CAUCGUUUAGGUGAUGGAGUUCACCUAAAACUGUCCGUAACUUUGGUACAAGGUUGCGGACUAAUAACUCCUACCAGCAC